rnacentral:rRNA from 1 species
CCUACGGUGUGCAGCAGUGGGGAAUAUUGCACAAUGGGGGAAACCCUGAUGCAGCGACGCCGCGUGAGUGAAGAAGUAUUUCGGUAUGUAAAGCUCUAUCAGCAGGGAAGAAAAUGACUGUACCUGACUAAGAAGCCACGGCUAACUACGUGCCAGCAGCCGCGGAAAUACGUAGGGGGCAAGCGGUAUCCGGAUUUACUGGGUGUAAAGGGAGCGUAGACGGCAGAGCAAGUCUGAAGUGAAAGCCCGCGGCGCAAGUGCGGGACUGCUGUGGAAACUGGCCGGCUUGAGUGCUGGAGAGGUAAGCGGAAUUCCUAGUGUAGCGGUGAAAUGCGUAGAUAUUAGGAGGAACACCAGUGGCGAAGGCGGCUUACUGGACAGUAACUGACGUUGAGGCUCGAAAGCGUGGGGAGCAAACAGGAUUAGAUACCCCAGUAGUC